AUUGAACGCUGGCGGCAGGCCUAACACAUGCAAGUCGAACGAGUGGCGGACGGGUGAGUAAUGUCUGGGAAACUGCCUGAUGGAGGGGGAUAACUACUGGCAACGGUAGCUAAUCCCGCAUACCAUCGGAUGUGCCCAGCUGGGCUUAGCUAGUAGGUGGGGUAACGGCUCACCUAUGGGACGAUCCCUAGCUGGUCUGAGAGGAUGACCAGCCACACUGGAACUGAGACACUGGCCAGACUCCUACGGGAGGCAGCAGUGGGGAAUAUUGCACAAGGGGCGAAAGCCUGAUGCAGCCAUGCCGCGUGUAUGAAGAAGGCCUUCGGGUUGUAAAGUACUUUCAGCGGGGAGGCGUUACCCGCAGAAGAAGCACUGGCUAACUCCGUGCCAGCAGCCGCGGUAAUUC
rnacentral:rRNA from 1 species